rnacentral:pre_miRNA from 1 species
AGAGUGCAGUAAAGCCAAGGAUGAAUUGCCGGCCCGACGCUAAUACUACAUAUAUGUAUAUACAUGUUUGGUCGAAUCGAGUAUAUCAAACAUGCCAUAUGUGUAUUGCAUUUGUCGGCAAUUUAUCCUUUGGCUAUAUUGGGCUCUCU